rnacentral:rRNA from 15 species
AUGUGUAGGAUAGUUGGGAGACUUUGAAGCAGCAUCGCCAGGUGUUGUGGAGUCAUCGUUGAAAUACCAACCUUUUGUUGCUUAGAACCUAACCCCUUGCGGGGGACAUUGCAUGGUGGGUAGUUUGACUGGGGUGGUCGCCUCCUAAAAAGUAACGGAGGCUCGCAAAGGUACCCUCAGUACGGUUGGUAAUCGUACGCAGAGCGCAUUAGUAAAAGGGUGCUU